UGACUUGAGAAAGGUGUGCCAAGGGCGUC
rnacentral:piRNA from 1 species